rnacentral:tRNA from 1 species
CUCAACUUGGCAGAGUAAUGUGUAAGAUUUAGGUUCUUGUAAUAAUGUUGAGU